GCUGAAUUCAGAUGGUUUCUCUGAUAGUCAUGAUUCACUUCUUUGUGUUGUGAAGAUCCAGUGGACAGCACAGCGUUCAGCCAUUAUACAGUCAUUCUGCUGGUGUUUUUACCUCAGUUUCUCCUAAUAGCAGCUCUGUGGAUGUGGUUUUUCAUCAGAAUGUGUCUACUCUCAAAACCAAACAGAAAACAAAAUUGAAGACUCUGAUGUUCCACAUCUGUUCAUCUGCUGUCUGUCCAUCAGAGCUGGUGGAGUGAUGUCAUUGUGAGAUCAUCACCUAGCAACAGUCAGAACUGUCAGCAGCACCAUGUGAUACAGUGAUGUCAUAUACAGUGACUUCUCAAUGACUGCUCAAUCUGCAUAAUCAAACAAAACUAAAAUGAAACAAUAGUACAGGUUAAUCCAUCCAGUUCUUUCCUUCUCUUGCCAAAUGUAAGAAAUGCUUUCAAUAUUUUUUUAUUCUAUAAAAAUCAUAUAUAUUGAUCCAUCAUAAAGAUGGGGGAUAGCCUUUGUGUUCUGUUUAUCUUUAUCUUAUGAAAAUAAUUUAAUAAGUAGUCAAAAGCUGGUGAUGAGAAUGAAGGAAAAUGCAGCUUAUAGACUUCAUUGCCUUCAUGAUCUGUGCCUAACUGUGAAGACGGUUCAUUUAAUUCAGGUGAGUUUAUAAGGGCUGGAACUAAAGUCUGCAGGAAAGUGAAAUUGUGGGCUUAAUCGACACGUGCACACAGCAGCCAUCGUCCACAAAACCGCAAGUGUACAUGAAGUGUGCUAUUUGGGACAAGACCAUAGCAGUGCACACUAUAAAGUCAGAUGGAUUUUAAUUGGUUGCCAGUGUUCUCUAUAUUCAUCAGAUGGAAAAUGUAAUAACAACUAUAUUUUCUCCAAGUCAUUGUUGUUGUGGUGUGGACUCAUCUGUUCUCUUAGAAAGUUUUAAACCUUAUGGUAAUCGUUCUUGAUGUGAAAGGGCUGUCACUCUCAUCUUGGUCUGUGUCUUUGGCAGCAGGUGUAGCUGAAUGUGGUGCAGUGGAUGAAGCUCUUGGUCAUUAAAGGUUUUGUUUUGAACUACACCUGGGGCCUGUACCAUGAUGGUAGUUGAACAAACUCAGGGUUAUAGGAUUAGUUUCGAGUUGACAAAACCAAACCACUCCAGUCCGGCUUUGUUGGUACCAUGAUGCUGAUCAUCAACUUUCUCUGUCAACUCAGGCUUUGAUCCUGAGUUUGUGGAGCGCGUGCACAUGAAUGCAUCAUAUCAGUGGCAAACAGCCAAUCACAUGCCUUGCAACAGAGAGAAACUGUGAAUCACUUCUGCGAGUAAGCCAGCGCGACUCAAAAAUCUUUUGCUGAAGAUUAAGAGAUCGAAGAAAAUGAAGAAUUUAAGUGCAUUUACAUUAAAGAAAAUACUUGUCCAUGAAAGAUAACAAAUAAAAUAAAUGUUCUUGCUCUUUCAGUGCACAAGUGAACCUUGUGAAGUUAGUUUGUAUAGUUGACAAUAUAUAGCGAUAGAGAUUCAAAUAUUUUUAAUAUUUUUUCAAUUUUUAAAGUUUAUUUACAGCUUAUUUAUAUUACACAUGAUCUGUAU